GACGAACCGUGCGAACGUUAUUCGGAAUCACUGGGCUUAAAGCGCGUGUAGGCGGGAGGGCACGUCCGUCGCUGAAAUCCCCCGGCUCAACCGGGGAACGGGCGCGGAUACGACUCUUCUGGAGGGGCGUAGGGGGACCUGGAACUUCCGGUGGAGCGGUGAAAUGCGUAGAUAUCGGGAGGAACACCUGUGGCGAAAGCGGCGCACUGGACCAUAACUGACGCUGAUGCGCGAAAGCUAGGGGAGCAAACAGG
rnacentral:rRNA from 1 species